rnacentral:lncRNA from 1 species
AGACCAGAAAGAUUAGUCCUCUUUAUAUACAAAAACAGGUUUGGAGAGAGGAUUGUCAAAGAGGUGGAGAGGCAGCCUCAGAGAGAGAGAGAGAACAACCUCGGAUGAGUCAUUCAACUCUGCUAAACUUCAACUUACCCAAAUGAAAAUGAAGAUAAUGAUACCUGUUCUUAUAAGGUCAGGCAGGUAUCAUUGUUAUGACAGCAAAUGAGAUGCUUCAUCUGAAAGCGCUAACCAACCUUGAGACAGUAUUUAAUCCCACUGAGAAAAGAGCAUAGAUACACUAUGUUUGGCUGUAAUGUGAUAAUUGUGUUUCCAAGAAAGCUUAUACUGUUAGAGAUUAUUUUAUAAACUAUUGAUUCAGUGGGAAAAGUUUGGGAAUGAAAGUUGGAUGGUUUCAGAUUUACAACUGAAAAGUUAUUUUUCUUCUGUUCUUCACUGCAUAAAAGAAACAAACUGUGAACUCGGACUUUACAUCAAAUACAAAUCAAAACCACAAUGAGAUACCAUCUCACCCCAGUUAAAACAGCUAUUAUCAAAAGGAUGACUUACACUACUAAUUAUUUGCUUAAACGUCAGUCUGCCUCCUAAUUUCCAAUCUUACAGGCAAGGAUGAUGACCUAACAC